rnacentral:rRNA from 1 species
UACGGAGGGUGCAAGCGUUAGUCGGAAUUACUGGGCGUAAAGGGUGCGUAGGCGGGUAUAUAAGUCAGCUGUGAAAUUCCGGGGCUCAACCUCGGAGCUGCAUCUGAAACUGUGUACCUAGUGAGAUGGCGGAGAAAAUGGAAUUCCAUGUGUAGCGGUGAAAUGCGUAGAUAUAUGGAGGAACACCUGUGGCGAAAGCGAUUUUCUAGCCUAACUCAGACGCUGAGGCACGAAAGCAAGGGGAGCAAACAGG